CGGAGGGUGCAAGCGUUGCUCGGAAUUAUUGGGCGUAAAGGGUAGGUAGGUGGUCUCAUUUGUCUGGGGUGAAAGCCUUGAGCUUAACUCAAGAAGUGCCCCAGAAACGGUGAGACUAGAGUCCUGGAGAGGGUCGUGGAAUUCCCGGUGUAGCGGUGAAAUGCGUAGAGAUCGGGAGGAACACCAGAGGCGAAGGCGGCGACCUGGACAGGCACUGACACUCAACUACGAAAGCGUGGGGAGCAAACAGGAUUAGAUACCCUGGUAGUCCACGCUGUAAACGAUGGGUACUAGGUUUGGUGGGUCUUGACCCCCGCCGAACCGGCGCUAACGCACUAAGUACCCCGCCUGGGAAGUACGGUCGCAAGACUA
rnacentral:rRNA from 1 species